rnacentral:rRNA from 1 species
UCGAGGGGCAUCACGGAAAAGCUUGCUUUUCUGGUGGCGACCGGCGCACGGGUGCGGAACGCGUAUGGAACCUGCCCCUGUCAGGGGAAUAGCCCAGGGAAACUUGGAUUAAUGCCCCAUGGUACCGUUAUAUCGCAUGAUAUUGCGGUUAAAGAUUUAUCGGACAGGGAUGGCCAUGCGUACCAUUAGUUAGUUGGUGGGGUAACGGCCCACCAAGGCAGCGAUGGUUAGGGGCCCUGAGAGGGGGAUCCCCCACACUGGUACUGAGACACGGACCAGACUCCUACGGGAGGCAGCAGUGAGGAAUAUUGGACAAUGGGCGGGAGCCUGAUCCAGCCAUGCCGCGUGCAGGAUGACGGCCCUAUGGGUUGUAAACUGCUUUUAUACGGGAAGAAAUGCGCCCACGUGUGGGCGUCUGACGGUACCGUAAGAAUAAGGACCGGCUAACUCCGUGCCAGCAGCCGCGGUAAUACGGAGGGUCCGAGCGUUAUCCGGAAUCAUUGGGUUUAAAGGGUCCGUAGGCGGGCCUGUAAGUCAGGGGUGAAAGUUUGUGGCUCAACCAUAAAAUUGCCUUUGAUACUGCAGGUCUUGAGUCAUGGUGGGGUCGCCGGAACAUGUGGUGUAGCGGUGAAAUGCAUAGAUAUCACAUAGAACACCGAUCGCGAAGGCAGGUGGCCAACCAUGUACUGACGCUGAUGGACGAAAGCGUGGGUAGCGAACGGGAUUAGAUACCCCGGUAGUCCACGCCGUAAACGAUGGAUACUAGCUGUGGGGACUUCGGUCUCCGUGGCCAAGCGAAA